UUCAAGCUUAAAUUUAAAUGUCUAUCUCUUUUUGCCUUUAAAAAAUAGUAAUGCCAUUGUUAGAAAUAUAGAUAUUAGAAGAGAUCCAGGGAAUGCAACUCACAUUUGUAUUCAGUUAGUGAUUUUGGUUAAAGAUGUUUAGUGUUGAAAAUCUACUCAACUUUGAAAAUAAUCUCAGAGCACACAAUGAAAAUAGUAGGUGUCUAGUAUUUAUUACUCAUUGGAAAGAAACGGUAGAAUGAAAUAUUAUUUUAUUUGGAUCCGUAAAAAUUUCUUGUAUUGCCUUGAGGUUUUUUUUUAAGGUCAGAUGGAUCUUUUAAUUUGGUCAGCAGUUAUAGUUGAUUAAUAUAUCUGGGUACCAAGGUGGUCUACAUGGAGGGAUUUGGGGGAAAUGUGGCCUCCUCAGCAGUUGUUAAUAUAGUGUUAUUAUCCUAGGUGGUGAUUCUCAGUCCACAAUAAGAAUAAGUAUACAUUGCUAACCUAAAACAUUUAAAGCAAACAUUUCAGAAAAUGGUAUUCCUAAUAGGUGCUUUACUAGUACUCUGAAAUUUUAUUUUAUCCUAUUAUAUUAGGGUAAAAUACAAAGGUUAGUGCUUAAAAAGCUGCCCCAAAUCAGUAAUUAUGAGACAAAGGUUAAAUGUAAUAAAGUCAAAUGGUAUUUUUUAAAAACAUGCUGGUCACAGCCCACUUAAUUCUUUCAUGGCUUACUAAUGGAUGGCAGCCCAUGGUUUAAAAACAACAACAAAAGCCACCUAAUUAGUAGGUUUAUCACUUGAGGAGCAGGGAUCAGACCAAGUCCAGCAUAGGGGUGUGCUGUGUUUUUAGGGUUGACCAAAUCUGGUCACCUAGAAGUGGGAACAUGGGUUACUUCUUAGUUUAUAGCUAUUUAUAGCUACCAGUAAGAAAGAGGCAUUUCCUCCAAUUUUCCACCUUCCUACCUCUUUCCAGGAUCCCUUUUUUCCUUCCAAGUAUUCUAGAAAGCCAUUAUAAACUUGUUUUCCUUACAGGUAGGAGAAGAAGGAAUGUGUUAGAUAGAAUGUACCUUUAAGCAUAUUCCUUUAACUUGUAUAUUAUUUCUAUUUCUGGUAAUGGCAUUUUAAAAAGAAAGAGUAGUAUUUAUGGGAGAGAUUUAUUCACUCAAAUAUAAGAACAUUUUUUUCAUAGGAGUAAAUGUAAAAUGAGAGUCAUACAAGCUUUUUAAGUGUAUGCAUCUACUUUCAUUUAGCAUGUUUCUACUUUAAUGGCACUUCUUAUUUCUGAGCAUUAUUGCUAAUAUUUUUUUAGAUUCCUUUAAAUGAAUGGUACAGCAUACCGUGGAGUUCAUUUGACUUUAUUACAUUUAACCUUUGUCUCAUAAUUACUGAUUUGGGGGCAGCUUUUUAAAUACUAACCUUAUUACCUCCAGUUAAUGAAAGCUUGGAUGAUACCAAUAUGUGAUAUAAAAAUAAUUAAAUUUACAUGUAACCAUCAAUUAACAGCACAAGAUACAUAAAAAUCUUUUGUGGAAAUCCCAAGGCUGGUAAAUUCUAGGGUAUUGAUAUUGAAAUUGAUAUUGAUAUUUAGGGACAUGAUAUUGAAAAGGGAUGGCUGAUUUUGUUUGUUUACCAACCCAUGUGGCAUUGGAGUAAAUAGUUUUAAAAUUAUGUUUCCUGAUCAAUUUUUAAAAUGUGAGUAACUAACAGUAUUUCAAAUUUUGCGCAAAAAGUACUGUAGUUAUUAUAUACAAUUAUUUCAGGUUUAUAGAAUCAAUAUUAACAACACUAUAAUUUGAAAACCUGAAUUGCAGCAUUCAGUAUGCAGCUGAGUUUAAUUACAAACUGUUCACUGUUUAUGAAGAUGCCAUUAUAUCAGAACUGAUUUCCGUAGCCAGACAAAAUCUUAAGAUGUUGGAGUUGAUGAGAUGGGAUAUUUUACUCACACGUACAGCAUAAAGCCAUUUGAUCUAGGAAUCCAUAUAAGCCUGUUACUGUUGAGGGAUGUCAGUCAGUAGGUGGCACACUUUGCCAUCAGAUCGGUGCUUUGCAAGCUGAAUGGUAAAUGCUGUUUGAACUGCCUUGGGUAUGAACAAAAGCGCUACCCUGUAAAAGCCCAUCCUGAGUCUUUGUACUAGUUUCGUCUCAGGUUGCCAAGUCUGGAUUGUGGGGGGGUGUCUGCUUUUAAGUUGCCUAUAGAACGAGGGUCUGGGGCACUGUGGAAAGAGGACCAGCAUGAAUUUAAGUUUUGGCCCUUUUUCUUAUUAAAUACCAUUGGGCAAGUUAUUUAAUUUCAGUGAGUCUCAGUUUUUCUAUAAAUCAGGGUUAAUAGUGGGGUGGCUACAAGGAUUACUGUGUUAUGAUGUUUGCAAAUUGCUGACCAUGGUCCCCAUUUCAUAAUUGGAAUUCUAUAAAUAAUACCUAUUAUUAUUAUUAUUACUUAGUCUUAUAAAUAAAAUCUAUGUAGAAGGCUGCAUGUUGAAAUUAAUUUUAAGGGCACCUCUAGAUUAGCUCCUCAGAUCAAUUUGUUUUGGUUCAGCAAAUAAUGGAUUUUAUGAGACAGUAUCAAGUUAAGGAGGUAAGAUCAUAUUGAUGAGUUGGGAAGUAAGAUUAAAGACUAAAGAUUAAAGAUUCUGGCUAUAGCUGAGUUAAAUUUAAGAGGUAUAAACUCAUGUGAAAUCCUGUAUUGGGUUUCAGAGAAUAUGUACAAGCACAUGUGAAAAUGACAUAGUUUCAGGUCAAGUGAAAAACCCCCAGGAGCUUUGACUAAAAGCCUGGUGUAGGUAGUGAUGCAGCUGUCAUGGAAGCCAGUGCAUUCUCCAAUAGGAUUGCAAGGCUUUGAGUGUCCAAGCAAAAGACAGCAGCAAUCUACUAUCCUCCGCACUCUUCAGUACACACCUAAAGUGUGUUUGUUCUGUCUUGAAUUCUGUUCUUUUAAAAGAGACAAGGGCAGGCAGGAGCAUAAACAGAGGAACUUGACCAGGAACAGUGUUGUAUGAAGAAUAAUGUUGCUGCUUAGCCUGAGCACUGCCUUCCCAUUUCAAGUGUUUGGAAGUCUACCAUUUGGAAGCCAGUGCAUUGUGUAGAAAGGCACUCAGUAAAGAUUUACUGAACAAAUGAGGAAUAGGCAGCUAUCGUGUAUAUCUAUAGUGUAGAGCUGAAGUAUCUAA